rnacentral:rRNA from 1 species
UGGGGAAUAUUGGACAAUGGGCGAAAGCCUGAUCCAGCCAUCCCGCGUGUGUGAAGAAGGUCUUCGGAUUGUAAAGCACUUUAAGUUGGGAGGAAGGGCAGUAAGCGAAUACCUUGCUGUUUUGACGUUACCGACAGAAUAAGCACCGGCUAACUCUGUGCCAGCAGCCGCGGUAAUACAGAGGGUGCAAGCGUUAAUCGGAAUUACUGGGCGUAAAGCGCGCGUAGGUGGUUCGUUAAGUUGAAUGUGAAAGCCCCGGGCUCAACCUGGGAACUGCAUCCAAAACUGGCGAGCUAGAGUAGGGCAGAGGGUGGUGGAAUUUCCUGUGUAGCGGUGAAAUGCGUAGAUAUAGGAAGGAACACCAGUGGCGAAGGCGACCACCUGGGCUCAUACUGACACUGAGGUGCGAAAGCGUGGGGAGCAAACAGG